CAUCGACCAGAGGGAAAAGGAGCAAUCCGCUUUGAGAUGGCCUCGCGUCCGAUUAGCUAGUUGGUGAGGUAACGGCCCACCAAGGCGACGAUCGGUAGCCGGACUGAGAGGUUGAACGGCCACAUUGGGACUGAGACACGGCCCAGACUCCUACGGGAGGCAGCAGUGGGGAAUAUUGCACAAUGGGGGAAACCCUGAUGCAGCGACGCCGCGUGGAGGAAGAAGGUCUUCGGAUUGUAAACUCCUGUUGUUGAGGAAGAUAAUGACGGUACUCAACAAGGAAGUGACGGCUAACUACGUGCCAGCAGCCGCGGUAAAACGUAGGUCACAAGCGUUGUCCGGAAUUACUGGGUGUAAAGGGAGCGCAGGCGGGAAGACAAGUUGGAAGUGAAAUCCAUGGGCUCAACCCAUGAACUGCUUUCAAAACUGUUUUUCUUGAGUAGUGCAGAGGUAGGCGGAAUUCCCGGUGUAGCGGUGGAAUGCGUAGAUAUCGGGAGGAACACCAGUGGCGAAGGCGGCCUACUGGGCACCAACUGACGCUGAGGCUCGAAAGUGUGGGUAGCAAACAGGAUUAGAUACCCUGGUAGUCCACACCGUAAACGAUGAUUACUAGGUGUUGGAGGAUUGACCCCUUCAGUGCCGCAG
rnacentral:rRNA from 1 species